UCAAUGCCUGCCCAAUAUCAUCCAAAAUGUGUUCCUGCCACUCUGAUGCUCUUGUCUGAAUAGGAACAAAACUCUCCACAGCCAUGUUCUAGAAGAAGACAUACCCACAAAAGUGGAAACUGCUGCUAAUGCUAACGAUUUUGAAAUUGAUGCAGCAUUUGUCCAUACAGUAUAAUUCAUCAUUUUGUAUUUGACAGUUCUAUUUGUGACCUAGCUUUCUAGAUCGGAGGUUUAUCAAGAUGGAUGGGAUACAGCCUCACAAGACCAUGUUUCUCAAAGGGUUUUUCUACAAGAUGACCCUGUGGCUACUCGUGUCAGUCAGAGGAUUGCAGACGCUACUGGACUCUCCAUGGAAACAGCGGAAUCACUGCUUGUUCAAAAUUAUGGGAUUGGUGGCAGAUUUGAACCACAUUAUGAUGCACUGGAGACAGGAGUGAAUGACAGGAUUGCUACAUUCCUAAUUUAUGUAAGU